rnacentral:rRNA from 1 species
GACGAACGCUGGCGGCGUGCUUAACACAUGCAAGUCGAACGGAAAGGCCCUGCGUUUGUGGGGUGCUCGAGUGGCGAACGGGUGAGUAACACGUGAGUAACCUGCCCUUGACUUUGGGAUAACUUCAGGAAACUGGGGCUAAUACCGGAUAGGAGCUCCUGCUGCAUGGUGGGGGUUGGAAAGUUUCGGCGGUUGGGGAUGGACUCGCGGCUUAUCAGCUUGUUGGUGGGGUAGGGGCUUACCAAGGGUUUGACGGGUAGCCGGCCUGAGAGGGUUAACGGCGACCUUGGGCCUGCGAUACGGCGCAGAAUGCUACGGGAGGCAGCAGUGGGGAAUCUUGCACAAUGGGCGGACGCCUGAUGCAGAAACGCCGCGUGCGGGAUGACGGCCUUCGGGUUGUAAACCGCUUUCGCCUGUGCCGAAGCGUGAGUGACGGUAAUGGGUAAAGAAGCACCGGCUAACUACGUG